GUCGAACGCUCACCUUCGGGUGGGAGUGGCAGACGGGUGAGUAACACGGGGAACGUACCCUUUGGUUCGGGACAACUCUGGGAAACUGGAGCUAAUACCGGAUACGCCCUUUUGGGGAAAGGUUUACUGCCGAAGGAUCGGCCCGCGUCUGAUUAGCUAGUUGGUGGGGUAACGGCCUACCAAGGCGACGAUCAGUAGCUGGUCUGAGAGGAUGAUCAGCCACACUGGGACUGAGACACGGCCCAGACUCCUACGGGAGGCAGCAGUGGGGAAUAUUGGACAAUGGGCGCAAGCCUGAUCCAGCCAUGCCGCGUGAGUGAUGAAGGCCUUAGGGUUGUAAAGCCCUUUUAUCCGGGACGAUAAUGACGGUACCGGAGGAAUAAGCCCCGGCUAACUUCGUGCCAGCAGCCGCGGUAAUACGAAGGGGGCUAGCGUUGCUCGGAAUCACUGGGCGUAAAGGGCGCGUAGGCGGCGUUUUAAGUCGGGGGUGAAAGCCUGUGGCUCAACCACAGAAUGGCCUUCGAUACUGGGACGCUUGAGUCUGGUAGAGGUUGGUGGAACUGCGAGUGUAGAGGUGAAAUUCGUAGAUAUUCGCAAGAACACCGGUGGCGAAGGCGGCCAACUGGACCGGCACUGACGCUGAGGCGCGAAA
rnacentral:rRNA from 1 species